GACGAACGCUGGCGGCGUGCCUAAUACAUGCAAGUAGAACGCUGAAGGAGGAGCUUGCUUCUCUGGAUGAGUUGCGAACGGGUGAGUAACGCGUAGGUAACCUGCCUGGUAGCGGGGGAUAACUAUUGGAAACGAUAGCUAAUACCGCAUAAUAGUAGAUGUUGCAUGACAUUUGCUUAAAAGGUGCAAUUGCAUCACUACCAGAUGGACCUGCGUUGUAUUAGCUAGUUGGUGAGGUAACGGCUCACCAAGGCAACGAUACAUAGCCGACCUGAGAGGGUGAUCGGCCACACUGGGACUGAGACACGGCCCAGACUCCUACGGGAGGCAGCAGUAGGGAAUCUUCGGCAAUGGACGGAAGUCUGACCGAGCAACGCCGCGUGAGUGAAGAAGGUUUUCGGAUCGUAAAGCUCUGUUGUAAGAGAAGAACGAGUGUGAGAGUGGAAAGUUCACACUGUGACGGCAUCUUACCAGAAAGGGACGGCUAACUACGUG
rnacentral:rRNA from 1 species